ACUCCUACGGGAGGCAGCAGUGGGGAAUAUUGCACAAUGGGGGAAACCCUGAUGCAGCGACGCCGCGUGAGCGAAGAAGGCUUUCGGGUCGUAAAGCUCUGUCCUUAGGGAAGAAAAUGACGGUACCUAAGGAGGAAGCCCCGGCUAACUACGUGCCAGCAGCCGCGGUAAU
rnacentral:rRNA from 1 species